UACGUAGGGGGCGAGCGUUGUCCGGAUUCAUUGGGCGUAAGGAGCUCGUAGGCGGCUUAGCAAGUCGGGUGUAAAACCUCCAGGCUUAACCUGGAGAGGCCACCCGAUACUGCUAUGGCUAGAGUCCGGUAGGGGACCACGGAAUUCCUGGUGUAGCGGUGAAAUGCGCAGAUAUCAGGAGGAACACCAGCGGCGAAGGCGGCGCUCUGGGCCGGUACUGACACUGAGGAGCGAAAGCGUGGGUAGCAAACAGG
rnacentral:rRNA from 1 species